UCUCCUACUCCCGCCAAUCAAAAUGGAUUGUUCUGAAGCUGGAUUGCUUGUGUGAUAAAAGUGUAGGAAGCUGAUGGCUGCAGAGUAAUGCAGAAAUAGCAUGAGAGAGAGAGAGAAGACAAGAAUCAAGUAGCAGAGGAGAUCAUCAACAGCAUUAACGGAGACGUCUAUAACCUCAGCAGCUGUGUUGAUGCUGCUUUCCGUAAUAGGCAUCAGCCUUCUAUCCCUGGGGAGAUUUUACAGCAUUAAUUUGCUCUGCACAAUUGCAGCCAGCAAGGCUUCCCUUCAGCAGCAGCCUUUCCCGACCCUCCACCUCCCUCUGCUACAGCGAGAGUGAGAGGCCCAGUAGGAAUCGUACCUCUCCAGCUGAUCUUCCUUUGCUCUCUUGGCCCAAUGUCUCCUGUGCCCAAUGAAGCAGAUCCCGAAGUGCCCCGAAUGGACCCAAGGAUUCUGAUUUUCCUUCUCUAUGUGGUGAUCCUCCAUGAGUUGGUCAGUGGCUGGAUGGAGUAUCAGAAGCAGGUAACCAAACCUAAGAAGCAAGUGGGUCCAGUUUGGUCCUCUAGCUUCACACGAUCAAACCACUCUGGCUCCUCCAGGCGUUUGCUGCACUCGGCGCGGAGAGAGCGGUACCGGGAUUGGCGGAAACCGGGGCGAAUCAUCAGGAAGGCAUGAGGAUGCCUCGUGGGUCCUUUCUGAAGCUUGGCAUGGGAUGCUCACUGAUCCUGAGACACACAAUCCCUUGUGAAGUCUGCACUGUGAGGGCCACCUACCUGUCAUCUUGCAGGAGCCAGUGUGAAAGCAUCCAGGUACCACAGUCUGCAUCUCUGCCUGACACGUCUCUUCCUGAGACUGACCAAGCUUUUAUUGCUCCGAGAUUGCUGAGUCUGGCACAGCUGAAGAGGCAAGAAUAAGUUUCAUCCAGGGAUCAAGGUGCUGUUCCUCAGUGAGGACACACCCGGACGAGACCCAUCACAGCCACUGUGUGAGAUCAGCCAGGGUGGGGUGAUGUUUAUUUUUGUCACGCUGCAAAGAGAAGAAUGAGCUUGUCCACGUAUUUCAGAAACAUCCAUUAUUGUAGCUUUUCGGGGUGACUCUUCUUUUUCUUUCCUAGGGCAAGUGGGUUGCACUUAACUCCUACAGAGUGAAAUUCACCCCUCUGUGGAGGGCCACACGCUAUUUCAGUCCCACUGAAAUUCUAAUUUGAGGACUUAAAUGAUGGACAGGCAAAAUUUUCAACAGCCAUUGCUGAUUUUUGGGUACCUAACCUGGGACACUUUAUAGGGGCCCGAUUCCCAGGAACUCCUGAGCACCCACCCUCUAAAAGUUAGUCUCCUUUACGGUGUCUCAAUUUGGGCAUCUAAAAAUCGCAGCACUCAGAAUUAAUCACUUGUGAACUGUUGGCCCUCUGCACAGGAAUGACUCUCACUCACAGGGAGAAAAGAACUGUCUCUUUCUUACACCCACCACUCUGAAAUGCAUCUGAGACAUACAGAUCCAUCUCACUGCAUGGCAUAGCACCACAUUAGGAAUUAGUCCACCUGCUAAAAUCUAUUCAUAACAUCUCCCAACCAGCGUAGUUCGGAUGGAUCUGAGUAGCAGUGCCUAAUGUAACAGCAGCUUUUGAAUGAACAGAUAGAUGGUGCUGAAAGAUAGUGUUUCUCUUAGUAGAGUCUUUAUUUGAAGCAUUGACAUUAUGGUGUAGGGAAAAGUCUCAGUUUUCACCUCCUGCAGUCACAUGUAGCCGAGUCAAAUUAAGAAUGGAAGAGGAUCUGUUACUAUUGGACGGACUCUUGUAAUAAGCUUCACAUGUCCUCUAAAAAUGAAUGGUGUCCUUUGUAGGUAGAACUGGCUGCCUUAUUUGUUGAACAGAACAGUCAGCAUGAAUGUAGCUUUUUUUCUGUGUGUGCCUCUUCCGCUCUCUGAUUCCUUCUCUUGGAUUCAUUAUAUGGAAGGCUUCACCGAAUGUUUUUCAACGUUUGUGGUGUUGGUUGUUUUCAAAUUGUUCGCUUUGACUAUCAUGGUGUGUGACUGACCCCUUAAGUCACAUGGGGUUGUGUCUGCUCCCUGAUUGGGUGAUUUCAAUUUUUUAACUUAGAGAAUCCAAACAAUAAGUAGCAAAUAACUCACUUUCUGGUACUGAAUUUCAGUGAAUACCAGUCAUGCCAAAAUCUGUGGCACUGUAGCGAGGCGACGACUCACCGGCGUGGCGCCUCCUGCUGGUUGUCCUGGGAAUUAGCUCUUCCAGCCCGGAGCGCCCUCUGCAGGCCGGUGUCUCUCCUGCCGCUGGCCCCCGUGUCCCUCCCAGACCCCGGUGCCCCUCUACAUCAGGGUUCUGCCCCCAGCAGUAACCCACAAUCUGGGUCUCCCCACCCAGGGGAACUCCCAACCCUCUAUCCCCACCUCACCUCAGUGAUGACUGCCAGUCACCAUCUAGCCCCCGCUCACUGGGGCAGACCGCAGUCUGUAAACCCCUCAUCAUCAGCAAGAGGAUUAGGACCAGCUGCCUCUGCCUAUCUCUGGGCUGCCCCUCUGCAGCCCUAGUACCCUCUUGUGGGCCCUUAACUCGGCCUGCAGCCUGGGGCUUUGCUAGGCUGGAGCUCCCCAGCUCCCUCUGCCCCUCCCCAGCACUGCUCCACCCUAGGUACCCUCCUCAGCUCCCGGGCAGCCAGGUCCUUCUCUCUCAAUGAAGCUAGAGAGAGUGUCUCCCCUGCCUCUGGCCCUCAGCCCUCUUAUAGGGCCAGCCGUGGCCUGAUUGGGGCAUGGCCCCCCCUGUGGCUGCUUCCCCCCAAUCAGCCUUUCCUUUCCCAGCUGCAGCCCUCUCCAGGGCUAUUUUAACCGCUCCGGGCAGGAACGGGGUGGCCACCCCGCUACAGGCACGCUUCGAAUUUGUGGGCAUUUUCAGAAAUUCCCAGUGUGUCGUGAAUAAUAAAUAACAGAACCCCUGAAUAACAGCAAACCAAACACAAUGUGCUUUAGUAGCGGAAAUAUUAGGGAACCCCUUUUUUUCAAAUAGCUCUAGUUCUGUGGGAGAAACAUACAAUUGGAUUGUUUUUCCUUGCUGUGCAUGGUCUGCUGGCCCCUCCCUUGUCUUUCUAGUCUUAACAUGAAUUUGAUUAAGAGCAAUUGUAUAUAAAAGGUGGUUUUACUUAAUUGUUUGUGCAAUGCAUGAUGGGAUUGACCCUGGUUAUAAAAGCCAAGAACCUGCCCUCAGCUGAAGCCACUAGUCCUGGAAGCUACUAAGGGUGAUGCAGUUGGGCUGUUCCUUUGUUAAGGAAACAUUAAUGGGUGUGAAUACCUGGUUAUGUUGACCAUACGAUCGGUUUAUAUUCUGUGUUUACUUUUUCUGUAGAUCUUCAAAUAAACUGAUUUACAUGUAAAACAUUCA